ACCCAAUCUUUGGUUAUAAAAGAGCUGCCAUUGCAUGAUCAAUUGAAAAACACCCCCCACUCUUAUUACAAGCUUUCUUUAAUUAUCAAAGCAUUGACAUUUCGUCCAAUUUCCCAGCUUUGGCUAUGGCUAAAAAUUUUGGGUUCUUCGUCUUGCUCUUCAUGAUCCUUGUACUGUCUCGGAACUUCAUAAAUGUUGAGAGUAGGGUUCUCAAACGCGUUCGAGGGUAUGCAAAUUUUGCCACCUUGGGAGUUGUAUGCAAGUGCUGUGAUGGUGAAGGAGGUGAAUGCAAGAGCUCAUGGAAUGCCUCUCAUUCUUGCCCAAAGAUUCAAUGCCUUCCAUGGAAAUACCAGCUCUGAUCUUAUGAAUAAUAGGAUUCCAUGGUUUUCUGUAUUAACCUUUUCUCUUAUGCUUAAUUAUAUAUAUAUAUAUAGAUAUUAAGGUAGCUUGAUUAUCUACUUUCAGCUGACAAAUUGAAAAUAUAUAUAUAGUUCAUUUAAGACAAAAUAAGUAGAUUUGACAAUAGAGAAUUAAUGGAUUUUGCUUUUAUUCAUGUGUAACUUUGAUAAACAUGAAGCACAAAUCUCUUCUGUCAAAUUAAACCAGAAUGAGAUGAACCCAUGCAUCACCUUUUUGCUUUUCUUAGAUUAGAUUGCUUCUUUGCAAAUCAAUUAUGAUUAAGAGAA